UGGGGAAUAUUGCACAAUGGGCGGAAGCCUGAUGCAGCGACGCCGCGUGAGGGAUGACGGCCUUCGGGUUGUAAACCUCUUUCAGUAGGGACGAAGCGUAAGUGACGGUACCUGCAGAAGAAGCACCGGCUAACUACGUGCCAGCAGCCGCGGUAAUACGUAGGGUGCGAGCGUUGUCCGGAAUUACUGGGCGUAAAGAGCUCGUAGGCGGUUUGUCACGUCGUCUGUGAAAUCCUAGGGCUUAACCCUGGACGUGCAGGCGAUACGGGCUGACUUGAGUACUACAGGGGAGACUGGAAUUUCUGGUGUAGCGGUGGAAUGCACAGAUAUCAGGAAGAACACCGAUGGCGAAGGCAGGUCUCUGGGUAGUAACUGACGCUGAGGAGCGAAAGCAUGGGUAGCGAACAGG
rnacentral:rRNA from 3 species